rnacentral:rRNA from 1 species
ACACAUGCAAGUCGAACGAGAAUCUACUGAAAGAGUUUUCGGACGAUGGAAGUAGAGGAAAGUGGCGGACGGGUGAGUAACGCGUGAGGAACCUGCCUUGAAGAGGGGGACAACAGUUGGAAACGACUGCUAAUACCGCAUGAAGCAUAGGGGUCGCAUGAUUCUUAUGCCAAAGAUUUAUCGCUUCAAGAUGGCCUCGCGUCUGAUUAGCUAGUUGGCGGGGUAACGGCCCACCAAGGCGACGAUCAGUAGCCGGACUGAGAGGUUGAACGGCCACAUUGGGACUGAGAUACGGCCCAGACUCCUACGGGAGGCAGCAGUGGGGAAUAUUGGGCAAUGGGCGCAAGCCUGACCCAGCAACGCCGCGUGAAGGAAGAAGGCUUUCGGGUUGUAAACUUCUUUUAAGAGGGAAGAGCAGAAGACGGUACCUCUAGAAUAAGCCACGGCUAACUACGUGCCAGCAGCCGCGGUAAUACGUAGGUGGCAAGCGUUGUCCGGAUUUACUGGGUGUAAAGGGCGUGCAGCCGGGUCUGCAAGUCAGAUGUGAAAUCCAUGGGCUCAACCCAUGAACUGCAUUUGAAACUGUAGAUCUUGAGUGUCGGAGGGGCAAUCGGAAUUCCUAGUGUAGCGGUGAAAUGCGUAGAUAUUAGGAGGAACACCAGUGGCGAAGGCGGAUUGCUGGACGAUAACUGACGGUGAGGCGCGAAAGUGUGGGGAGCAAACAGGAUUAGAUACCCUGGUAGUCCACACUGUAAACGAUGAAUACUAGGUGUGCGGGG